UACGUAGGGGGCAAGCGUUGUCCGGAUUUAUUGGGCGUAAAGAGCGUGUAGGCGGUCAGGUAGGUCCGUUGUGAAAACUCGAGGCUCAACCUCGAGACGCCGAUGGAAACCAUCUGACUAGAGUCCGGAAGAGGAGAGUGGAAUUCCUGGUGUAGCGGUGAAUGACGCAGAUAUCAGGAAGAACACCCGUGGCUAAGGCGGCUCUCUAGUACGGUACUGACGCUGAGACGCGAAAGCGUGGGGAGCGAACAGG
rnacentral:rRNA from 1 species